rnacentral:lncRNA from 1 species
GAAGCAUGUGGAACCAUUAACCAUGGCAUGCUGCAUUCACCAGUCUAAUUUUGCUGCUACUUUCUCAUUUCUGGUGCAAAAGUAAGAACCCUUUUACCUUUUUCAAAAAUCUUCAAAUUUCAGUUGCCACGUUCCUUCUUUCUCUCCUAUAAAUUCCCCUCUCCACCCUUCAUUCUACCUCCUCAAACAUCAACACCUUCUUCCAUUUCAUUAUCUCUCCUAAAAUUUCUUACUCUUCCUUCUCAGAAAGAAGAAAAGCCUAGUACUGAAGAAUCUGUAAAGCUCAGGAGGGAUAGCGCCAUGAUUUUUCACAUCAUCGUGUUGUUCUUUGGCGCUAUCUAUCCUGAGUUUCACGGCUUCUUCUUACUGUAUAUACAUCUUCAAAGAUGCAUGUUGUUGCAAGAGAACAAUCCCUCAAAACUAUUCUCUAUAUAUGCUUCUUUCUUCCUCACACUCUCUUUCUGAAUCUUACUUGAUUUGUAGGUUCUGAUCAUAGCGGUUCUGAAGUCAAGAUCUUCAAAAAUAUGAUGACGAUUCCGACUGUACGAAUUUUACCUUAACCACCUCUUUUCUUUUUAUGUAUUUUGACUCCUGCAAAGGUUGCUUUUUUUAUUAUUAUUAUUAUUGUUCCUCCCAUCUCAGGUUUUAUAACUUCAUGCAUGUUGUUUCUUUGUUUUUGCUACUUAAUUUCUUUUAUUUUUGAUCUAUUUAGUUCAAAACAAAUGGUUUGUACUUUUUAGUUGUUUGUGUUUGUCGUUUUGGCUUUGUUUUAUUUUCUUUCAUUGCCUGAACUUUUUCAAAAGCUUGCCUCGUUUUCUCAUGCUGUGGAAGAACUCGCUUGCAGAAAAGAAUUUGCUAAUUAUCUGCACUAAAUUCUCAUACGUUGUUGUAUGCAUCUUAAAGACAGAUAGAAGUUCUUCAAGCAGAAUUUGCUGCAUGGUUUUAAACUGUCAUCAGAAGUUGAAGUUCAAUUUUUUAGAUUUUAACUACUACUUUUUUUUUUCCCUGAUGCAGUUCUAUCUGUAUUUAUCCAUAUUUUCUUACAAUAUUAUGGAUUCAAAAAAGCGUUUUAGUCUGGUUGAGUCCAUAUAUGUUUGCAUAGCCGUUCUGUUCAAUGCCCACAGUUUCUUGUCAGAUGUGCUUUUUUCAAGGAAAAUGAAGGGCUUCUGCUAAAUGAACAUCAAAAUCUGCAUAUUGGCCUGGAGAUCUAUCGAGUGAUGAAAAUUCUUUUGAGAAAUUGUAUGCUACCCUUGAAAAUUUAAGGGAUUUUGGAUUGUUAUCGAGAAACUUUUCUUUUUCCUUUUCUUCUCUACCUCUCUCUCUCCCUAUCUAUCUUUCUGCUGCUGUGCCAACUUAUGUAAUUAUUCAUCUGUAACAAAAUCCUUCAAUUUCUUUAAGGUUUAGUUAGGAAAAACUUGCAGAUAAUAUUUAAAAAUCUUGAAUAUUAUAACAUAAUGUCUUUAUUUUUUCCUGAUUCUAUAUUUAUAUCAUAGUUUCACAGUCAUACUACUAUGCAGUAAUACAGUAAUAAUAAUAAUAAUAAUAAUAAUAAUAAUAAUAAUAAUAAUAAUAAUAAUAAUAAUAAUAUAUUAGCUUUGGAUGCCAUUAAUUGUAUGAGGCCUGUUGAGUGAUCUAGAAUUUGUAGGCUUUUCUUCAGAAGGACCUAUUCUGCUACAAAGUUCGUAACGCAUAUUUUGAAGGCAGUUACUCUCUGAAGCUUGACCUGUUGACUGAUAAGUAUUAUACACAAGAAAGAUACGAGUUGUUCUGAACAGCAGAGAAGAAGGCUCUGAAUUAUUGCUUUUCAAUUAUUUUAUUUAUAUUUUUCCUGUGAAAAGGGUUAUUGAAGAGUAAUGAGUUAGUUCGAUUUUUAAUGGCGACUUCUGAGGGUAGCAGUCUUUCUCUUUCUGGCCUAAAGCCAAACCCUAGUAUGUGUUUUUUUUUUUUUGUUUUUUUUUUCUUUUUACCUUGGAACUAGAAAGCUAUGUGUCUAGGGUUUCUAUGAAAUUCAACUGCAACUUCUGCAGAAACUUUUGCAUCAAUUAUAAAUUACACUGUUGAUGUUGACUUGUUUUGCAACUUGGUUCAGGC